GCGGCUGUGGUGGAACGGCAUACACAACGGACUUAAAAUCCGUCGGGGAAACCUUGAGGGUUCAAAUCCCUCCAGCCGCACCA
rnacentral:tRNA from 1 species